CGGGUGAGUAACACGUAUCCAACCUGCCGUCUACUCUUGGACAGCCUUCUGAAAGGAAGAAUUUAAUACAAGAUGGCAUCAUGAGUUCACAUGUUCACAUGAUUAAAGGUAUUCCGGUAGACGAUGGGGAUGCGUUCCAUUAGAUAGUAGGCGGGAUAACGGCCCACCUAGUCUUCGAUGGAUAGGGGUUCUGAGAGGAAGGUCCCCCACAUUGGAACUGAGACACGGUCCAA
rnacentral:rRNA from 1 species